rnacentral:snoRNA from 1 species
GAGUUAGUGAUGAUUAUAAAAAUAAUUCUUGUUCUGACUUGUUUAAUUUGAACAUGAUAAACCUCUUAUUACAACCAUAGAAUCUGAGCUCC